rnacentral:rRNA from 1 species
AGAGUUUGAUCCUGGCUCAGAACGAACGCUGGCGGCGUGCUUCAUACAUGCAAGUCGUACGAGAAAGCUCUCUUCGGAGAGUAAUUAAAGUGGCAAACGGGUGAGUAACACGUGGGAAACUUGCCCCUCGGCGGGGGAUACGCUUUCGAAAGGAAGUAUAAUACCGCAUAACAUCAGAGAAUCACAUGUUUUUCUGAUCAAAGCAGCAAUGCACCGGGGGAUGGUCCCGCGCCUGAUUAGCUUGUUGGCAGGGUAACGGCCUACCAAGGCGACGAUCAGUAGCCGGCCUGAGAGGGUGAUCGGCCACACUGGGACUGAGAUACGGCCCAGACUCCUACGGGAGGCAGCAGUAGGGAAUAUUGCGCAAUGGUCGCAAGACUGACGCAGCAACGCCGCGUGGGUGAUGAAGUUUUUCGGAAUGUAAAACCCUUUCAGUGGGGAAGAAUAGCCUUCGGGCCUGACGGUACCCACAGAAGAAGUCCCGGCCAACUCCGUGCCAGCAGCCGCGGUAAUACGGGGGGGACAAGCGUUGUUCGGAUUUACUGGGCGUAAAGCGCUCGUAGGCGGUCUCACAAGUCGGAUGUGAAAUCCGAAGGCUCAACCAUCGGCCUGCAUCUGAAACUGUGAGUCUAGAGUACUGGAGAGGAUGGCGGAAUUCCUGGUGUAGCGGUGAAAUGCGUAGAUAUCAGGAGGAACAUCGGCGGCGAAGGCGGCCAUCUGGACAGAUACUGACGCUGAGGGGCGAAGGUUAGGGUAGCAAACAGGAUUAGAUACCCUGGUAGUCCUAACGGUAAACGAUGGGCACUAGGUGUUGGCGGUAUCGACCCCGCCAGUGCCGCAGCUAACGCAUUAAGUGCCCCGCCUGGGGAGUACGGUCGCAAGAUUGAAACUCAAAGGAAUUGACGGGACCCCGCACAAGCGGUGGAGUAUGUGGUUUAAUUCGACAACGCGAAGAACCUUACCUGGACUUGACAUAUGUUGGAAAGCCACAGAGAUGUGGCCCCCUCUUCGGAGGUCGAUAUACAGGUGCUGCAUGGCUGUCGUCAGCUCGUGCCGUGAGGUUUGGGUUAAGUCCCGCAACGAGCGCAACCCUUGUCCUUAGUUGCCAUCAGGUUAUGCUGGGAACUCUAAGGAGACUGCCGGUGACAAGCCGGAGGAAGGUGGGGAUGACGUCAAGUCCUCAUGGCCCUUACGUCCAGGGCUACACACGUACUACAAUGGCCGGUAUAAUAGGUUGCAAUAUCGUGAGAUGGAGCCAAUCCCUAAAGCCGGCCUCAGUUCAGAUUGAAGUCUGCAACUCGACUUCAUGAAGGUGGAAUCGCUAGUAAUCGUAGAUCAGCAGGCUACGGUGAAUACGUUCCCGGGGUUUGUACACACCGCCCGUCAAGCCAUGGGAGUGGGGGGUGCCCGAAGUCGCCAAUCUAACCUUCGGGAUGAUGGCGCCUAAGGUAAAACCCACGACUGGGGCUAAGUCGUAACAAGGUA